UUUGAUACUACUGGGAAAGUCUUUGUCAAAUAAAAGAAUUUGAACAACACUUACCUACUCACUUGCACUUUAUUUGAGGGCUAAAAUAGAAGUUGUAGAUCCUUGUUAGAUGAAAACUAAUGGAUCUUCUUUCGCCAUAAGAGUUACUGUACUGAAACCAUUUAUUUCUAUAGGUUAUCUAUCUACAUAUAACUCCCUGAGUUCCA
rnacentral:lncRNA from 1 species